ensembl:snoRNA SNORA73 Small nucleolar RNA SNORA73 family
GCCUGAAUAUCCCUACAGCUUCUCAGAAUCCUAGACAGUGACUGAGAAAAUGUACCAUAUAGG